rnacentral:antisense_RNA from 1 species
AAAGACAAGAUGAAAGUAUACCUAGAGGGACCUGUUUUCCUAACUGAUGUUAGAAAACUGAUGUGUCAUUUGAGCUAACCUCAGAAUCAAAACUUUGGCAUAAUUCUGGAGAAUGUGGUCACCAGAAAGCACAGAUGUUACUCUGGGACUACCACAUUGUGAAGGAAUUAUAACUGAUUUCUAAGACUUCAAAUUCUUAAUUGUUGGCCACUUGGCUUUACAAUGUGAAAAAGAACAUAUACAAAUAGGAUGACACACUGAAUGUCAGAUUUACGGUGUAUGUCAAGAAAAGAGCACAAACAAGUGGCAGUACUUUAUUCUCAAGCAAAAAUAUCUAAAGACAAACAUUCUCAGAAAUGCUGAAAUUACAUAACAUGAAUAAUGUAGAUUUUUAUUUACUUUCUGCCUAACUCAAAAAAGAUACACAAAAUGACUUUGAAAAUAAUUCUUUAAAAGCUCCUCAAAAGAAACAAUGUAAAUCCAAACCUGUGACAACAAAAAUGGAAUGUUUGUUUAAAAGAAAAGGUGUAGGAGG